UCAUAAUAAAAUUGCUGUUCCCGUAAACAGCAGAUUGUUCCAAUUAAUUGUUCGAGAGAUGAAACCAGCAGAUUGUUCCUGAAACUAAGAUUCUGUUCCAGAGCCAAAACCAACAGAUGGUUCCUGAACCUAAGAUACUGUUCCAGAAACCUGUUCCUGAUUAACACUUCGGAGAAUACGCAUACAAUAACCGACUCGUACGAAAAAAUUGACUAACCAAAACCACUUAAAUCCGCAUGUUUACAUGCAAAAUAAUAAAUCCGUUUUUUUAAUACAUGACAUAUCUAAAAUAAUUUUGAGUGGACGAAUAUUUUAGUGGAAUGAGCAAGAAGAGAAGCCAGCUCCGGUUUCUAGAUUACCAAAAUUAGAAAUAAAUUCUGGGGAGGAUUGUGCUAUAGGUCCAGGAACUGAUGAUAUCCAGUUAGAAGUAGAACCAAAGGAGAAAUUUGUGAUUCACUGGAGUAGACAGGGCAUAGUCGAAUUGUUUAUUUACCUGUCUGAUGUGGAUUCUCAUAUACAGAACAGUAGUAUAUACAAUAAUACAAGGUAUGUACAUAAACAUGUACUAUGUACAUAUACAGAACAGUAGUAUAUACAAU